rnacentral:rRNA from 1 species
GACGAACGCUGGCGGCGUGCUUAACACAUGCAAGUCGAACGGAAAGGCCCUGCUUUUGUGGGGUGCUCGAGUGGCGAACGGGUGAGUAACACGUGAGUAACCUGCCCUUGACUUUGGGAUAACUUCAGGAAACUGGGGCUAAUACCGGACAGGAGCCCCUGCUGCAUGGUGGGGGUUGGAAAGUUUCGGCGGUUGGGGAUGGACUCGCGGCUUAUCAGCUUGUUGGUGGGGUAGUGGCUUACCAAGGCUUUGACGGGUAGCCGGCCUGAGAGGGUGACCGGCCACAUUGGGACUGAGAUACGGCCCAGACUCCUACGGUAGGCAGCAGUGGGGAAUAUUGCACAAUGGGCGGAAGCCUGAUGCAGCAACGCCGCGUGCGGGAUGACGGCCUUCGGGUUGUAAACCGCUUUCGCCUGUGACGAAGCGUGAGUGACGGUAAUGGGUAAAGAAGCACCGGCUAACUACGUG